GAGCAUGUAACUCAGUUGGUUAGAGUAUACGCUUGAUAAGCGUAAAGUCGUGGGUUCAAGUCCCACUUUGCUCA
rnacentral:tRNA from 1 species